rnacentral:tRNA from 1 species
AUUUAUUUAGUAUAAAUAUUGUACAUUUAACUUCCAAUUAAAAAGUCUUAAUAAAGAAUAAAUA